CGUGAGUGGGAGCCCGUAGCCUUUCCUUUUCCAGACCCGGGCUCCCCCCGCACAGCUGGUUCCCAUUAGAGCAGGGCUCAGCGCCCCUGCUUCCACGAGCUCAUCAGGCAAUGCGGAAACCCAAGCCGUCACUCAUCUCACAUUCCAGCCCUGAGCAGGAGAGCAGCCAGUUCCUGCCUCGUCCGCCCUGACCCUCACUCCGCCAGCUCUUGGGACCUACCUGCGAGAAGGAGAGGCAGCAGCUGCCCAGGACCCCCAGCAGCCCACCUGGCCCUUCUGUCGCCUCCACCUGCUCAGCUCACGGCCAGCCCUCAGGACCCAGCUCACACACGUUUCCUCUCUGCAACACCUGGCCCCUCAGGGAGCCAGGUAUGAUCUCUUCUGGAGAAAGGAGUUCACAUAUCACGGGCUUCAGAGUCAUCAACCUACAGAUCCAGUUCCCUGGCCUCCCAGGCUUCUGGCCUUGUUGUGGUGUCCAGUAAUUGGUAUUUGUGCCUUGCAGCCCAGGUCCAUUACAUGGGUCAGAGCAGGCCAUGAGGGGAAGGCCAGGAGUGGCAUUGCCCUCCUCCUGCAGCUCAGACCAGGACGUCCCAUGCCAGCUGCUCCACCUGUGGGUCCAGCAAGCACCCUCCAGCAUCUGGGAGCUGGAGUCUGGAUUCUGCCAAGAGGAAAUGGGGUUCACGGGGCCUCCUGGACCCUGAGCCUGGCCUCUCCUGCCACCUCUGCCCCAGGAAGCUCCAGCAUGUUGUCCCAAGCCGAGGCCUUGCCUGCUACCCUCUACCAGACCAUCACGUCCCAGUGGCUCAACAAUGUUCCGUGGAUGUCCAGGCUGCAUGGUGUGUGCUCGCUCGGAUGGCACCUGGAGGUAAACGCCUGCUUUCGUGAGAGUCUGCGAUUUAGUCAUCUAGCACACCAGCCCCAGCCGUAAGCAUGCACAUGGUGCCCGGCGCUCUCUCCAAAAUAAGACACUGGUCAGGGUUGGGAGCCAAGUGCAGAGUCCUCCAUAGGGACAGCUGAUGUUCUUGCGCAGGACUGUGCCUGUCCCAGGCACCAGGGCCUCUUCCUCACAGGAAGGGUCUCCUCUCCCCAGGACCCCGCUCCAGGCUUCUGCUUCCUGCUGCCUCGCCCCCACCACCAUGAGACACUCUGUUCAGAGACAGAUCCAAGGUGGGGGCUUCAAGGUUUAGGGCAAUAAAACACAAUUUCUUCCUGGUACAUGCCUCGGGAGCCCGCCCCAUGCCGUCCAACUGGCCUCAUGCAGCCACAGCCCUAAACGGGUUUUGGGGCCAACCAUGCCCCAGACAUGCUCUUACAGGUGCAAAAGCUGUCCAUUUGACCACUGGUGGGCCCCCUGGAAGAGUGGGUCUCACCGGAGCACCCAGGCCCUAAUUGGCAUUCCAGUGUCCCCUCAGCCUGUUUGGGUCUUGCCCUGGAGCAAACAGCCUGUCCUCCUCUCAGGCCUGCAGGCUUCCAUGAAGAGCCGGUCAGCAGUGGGACUGCAAAACACAGACCACAGCCUUCUCUCUGCUCCCGACAGUGGGUACCCUCUAGCACAUGAUCACUUCCCUCCAGUUCCAGUGGCUCUGUGCAAGGAGAGAGAAGACCCAAGUCUUGGCCAGACACUGUGAGCACCUCUGACUCAGUCUCCCAGAGCCUCCACGGACAUUUCUGGAUAGGAUCCCAGGCACUGGGGAGGUGGGGUUUGCUCCCCACAGUCCGUCAGUCCAUCCUGAGAUCCUGAGGCAGUGGGUUCACUCCCCGCAGUAUGUCAGUUCAUCCUGAGACCCUGGGGAGGUAGGCUUUCCUCCCUGCAGUCUGUCCGUCCAUCCUGAGAUUGUGGGGAGGUGGGCUUUCCUCCCUGCAGUGUCAGUCCCUCCUGAGAUCCUGGGGAAGUGGGCUUCGCUUCCUGCAGUCUGUCAGUCCAUCCUGAGAUCGUGGGGACAUGGGCUUCACUCCCUACAGUCUGUCAGUCCAUCCUGAGAUCGUGGGGACGUGGGCUUCACUCCCUGCAGUCUGUCAGUCUAUUCUGAGAUCGUGAGGAGGUGGGCCUCACUCCCCUCCCUCUGUCAGUCCAUCUUGAUAUCUGUCCACAGCGCUCAGCCCUGG
ensembl:lncRNA